ensembl:snoRNA
CUGCAUACCAGUAGACCCUUUUUGACUGUGCCUGUGGUCAUAAAGGGGGGACAGUGUAUGCAACAGCAAAGCAUAAGUUGCCAGCAGACUCAUUCAGGCAGAUCUAUGACUGAUUGGCCUGUGGUACUUGUACAGAA